rnacentral:misc_RNA from 1 species
GAUGAAGAACGUAGCGAAAUGCGAUAAGUAAUGUGAAUUGCAGAAUUCAGUGAAUCAUCGAGUCUUUGAACGCACAUUGCGCCCCCUGGUAUUCCGGGGGGCAUGCCUGUCCGAGCGUCAUUGCUGCCCUCAAGCACGGCUUGUGUGUUGGGCUCCGCCCCCCUCCCGGGGGGCGGGCCCGAAAGGCAGCGGCGGCACCGCGUCCGGUCCUCGAGCGUAUGGGGCUUUGUCACCCGCUCUGUAGGCCCGGCCGGCGCCCGCCGGCGACCCCAAUCAAUCUUUCCAGGUUGACCUCGGAUCAGGUAGGGAUACCCGCUGAACUUAAGCAUAUCAAUAAGCGGAGA